rnacentral:rRNA from 1 species
GACGAACGCUGGCGGCGUGCUUAACACAUGCAAGUCGAACGAAGUGGCGAACGGGUGAGUAACGCGUAAUAAACCUGCCCUUCAGAGGGGGACAAAAGUUGGAAACGACUGCUAAUACCGCAUACUGAAGGAGGGGAUUGCGUCUGAUUAGCUAGUUGGAGGGGUAACGGCCCACCAAGGCGAUGAUCAGUAGCCGGUCUUAUAGGAUGAACGGCCACAUGGGGACUGUGACACGGCCCAGACUCCUACGGGAGGCAGCAGUGUGGAAUCUUCCGCAAUGGACGAAAGUCUGACGAAGCAACGCCGCGUGAGUGAUGACGGCCUGCGUGUUGUAAAGCUCUGUUAAUCGGGACGCGGUACCGGAAUAGAAAGCCACGGCUAACUACGUGCCAGCAGCCGCGGUAAUAC